AAGUCGUAACAAGGUUUCCGUAGGUGAACCUGCGGAAGGAUCAUUAUCGAAUAAAUCUGAUGAGGUUGUAGCUGGCUCUUAGGAGUAUGUGCACAUCUUGUCACCUUUAUCUCUCUCCCUGUGCACUCAUUGUAGGCCUGGAUAACUCUCGCUGAAAGGCGGAUGCAGAGACUGUGGUUGCUCUUGAUAACUCAAGGCCAGCUUUCUUUGAAUUUUCAGGUCUAUGACCCCACAUAUACCCCAAACAAAAUGAUUUAGAAUGCUUUUUGUAUGGCCUUUGUGCCUAUAAACAAAUACAACUUUCAGCAACGGAUCUCUUGGCUCUC
rnacentral:misc_RNA from 1 species